rnacentral:tRNA from 1 species
GGGGUUGUGGCUCAGUGGUAGAGUGCUUGCCUAGCAUGCAUGAGGCACUGGGUUCAAUCCUCAGCACCACG